rnacentral:rRNA from 1 species
UACGGAGGGUCCAAGCGUUAUCCGGAAUCAUUGGGUUUAAAGGGUCCGUAGGCGGUCUUAUAAGUCAGUGGUGAAAUCUCCCCGCUCAACGGGGAAACGGCCAUUGAUACUGUAGGACUUGAAUUAUUAGGAAGUAACUAGAAUAUGUAGUGUAGCGGUGAAAUGCUUAGAGAUUACAUGGAAUACCAAUUGCGAAGGCAGGUUACUACUAAUUGAUUGACGCUGAUGGACGAAAGCGUGGGUAGCGAACAGGAUUAGAUACCCUGGUAGUCCACGCCGUAAACGAUGGAUACUAGCUGUUGGGAGCAAUCUCAGUGGCUAAGCGAAAGUGAUAAGUAUCCCACCUGGGGAGUACGUUCGCAAGAAUGAA